rnacentral:rRNA from 1 species
AUACGUAGGUGGCAAGCGUUGUCCGGAUUUACUGGGUGUAAAGGGCGUGUAGGCGGAGAUGCAAGUCAGGAGUGAAAUCUAGGGGCUCAACCCCUAAACUGCUUUUGAAACUGUAUCCCUUGAGUAUCGGAGAGGCAGGCGGAAUUCCUAGUGUAGCGGUGAAAUGCGUAGAUAGUAGGAGGAACACCAGUGGCGAAGGCGGCCUGCUGGACGACAACUGACGCUGAGGCGCGAAAGCGUGGGGCGCAAACAGGAUUAGAUACCCUGGUAGUCCACGCUGUAAACGAUGAAUACUAGGUGUGGGGGGACUGACCCCCUCCGUGCCGCAGUUAACACAAUAAGUAUUCCACCUGGGGAGUACGAUCGCAAGAUUGAAACUCAAAUGAAUUGACGGGG